GUCGAGCGGUAGCACAGAGAGCUUGCUCUCGGGUGACGAGCGGCGGACGGGUGAGUAAUGUCUGGGAAACUGCCUGAUGGAGGGGGAUAACUACUGGAAACGGUAGCUAAUACCGCAUAAUGUCGCAAGACCAAAGUGGGGGACCUUCGGGCCUCAUGCCAUCAGAUGUGCCCAGAUGGGAUUAGCUAGUAGGUGGGGUAACGGCUCACCUAGGCGACGAUCCCUAGCUGGUCUGAGAGGAUGACCAGCCACACUGGAACUGAGACACGGUCCAGACUCCUACGGGAGGCAGCAGUGGGGAAUAUUGCACAAUGGGCGCAAGCCUGAUGCAGCCAUGCCGCGUGUGUGAAGAAGGCCUUCGGGUUGUAAAGCACUUUCAGCGGGGAGGAAGGCGAUAAGGUUAAUAACCUUGUCGAUUGACGUUACCCGCAGAAGAAGCACCGGCUAACUCCGUGCCAGCAGCCGCGGUAAUACGGAGGGUGCAAGCGUUAAUCGGAAUUACUGGGCGUAAAGCGCACGCAGGCGGUCUGUCAAGUCGGAUGUGAAAUCCCCGGGCUCAACCUGGGAACUGCAUUCGAAACUGGCAGGCUAGAGUCUUGUAGAGGGGGGUAGAAUUCCAGGUGUAGCGGUGAAAUGCGUAGAGAUCUGGAGGAAUACCGGUGGCGAAGGCGGCCCCCUGGACAAAGACUGACGCUCAGGUGCGAAAGCGUGGGGAGCAAACAGGAUUAGAUACCCUGGUAGUCCACGCCGUAAACGAUGUCGAUUUGGAGGUUGUGCCCUUGAGGCGUGGCUUCCGGAGCUAACGCGUUAAAUCGACCGCCUGGGGAGUACGGCCGCAAGGUUAAAACUCAAAUGAAUUGACGGGGGCCCGCACAAGCGGUGGAGCAUGUGGUUUAAUUCGAUGCAACGCGAAGAACCUUACCUGGUCUUGACAUCCACAGAACUUUCCAGAGAUGGAUUGGUGCCUUCGGGAACUGUGAGACAGGUGCUGCAUGGCUGUCGUCAGCUCGUGUUGUGAAAUGUUGGGUUAAGUCCCGCAACGAGCGCAACCCUUAUCCUUUGUUGCCAGCGGUCCGGCCGGGAACUCAAAGGAGACUGCCAGUGAUAAACUGGAGGAAGGUGGGGAUGACGUCAAGUCAUCAUGGCCCUUACGACCAGGGCUACACACGUGCUACAAUGGCAUAUACAAAGAGAAGCGACCUCGCGAGAGCAAGCGGACCUCAUAAAGUAUGUCGUAGUCCGGAUUGGAGUCUGCAACUCGACUCCAUGAAGUCGGAAUCGCUAGUAAUCGUAGAUCAGAAUGCUACGGUGAAUACGUUCCCGGGCCUUGUACACACCGCCCGUCACACCAUGGGAGUGGGUUGCAAAAGAAGUAGGUAG
rnacentral:rRNA from 1 species